AGGAGAAGAUUAAAAGUCAGAGGGAAACGAAAUGGGGAGAGUAAAGGAUAAAAUGUACCAAUGAAAGUGGUUAUAAGCACUUAUAGAAAAACAGAAAAGAAGUAGGGGAAAGAUGAGUGAAAAAUUGAAGGUAAAAAGAGAUUGAAAUAGACAGACAAACAUUACAUGGAAAAUUACAAGGAAAAUACAAUGAGGUGUGUAAGGAGAUGGAAUCACACACACAACUACCGAAAUACUUACAGAACAGAAAAGAAAAUGUCGAUACAAAAAUUAAAGAUAAGUAUCACGUAUGAAAAUCUGGAAGACGACAAUAAAUGUUGAGAUAGUGAAAAGGGGAAGAAGUGUAUGCUAUGCAAAGAUACACAGGAAUACUAACCUACCUUUCACAUGCGAAGAACUAAAUAAAAUCACGUUUAAGGAACGGGGAGAUAGUUGCAGAGGAGUUCAAAGAAGAAGUGGUGGAAUGUUGCAGGCAAUUGGAAUUGUUUAAGGAAGCAGAUGUUUACAAAAUCGUCAAUACGACGCUUUCAAAAGUUUCCGGCCAGGCGUAUCUCCAAAUGUAUUCAGAGUUUAUUACGCUUUAUUUGCGUUGCAUACGGAUGUCAACAUAUCAGAAUUAGUUACUAAUGCGUCGUCGCAGCACUUAAGGAAGACAUGAAAAUACUUCUAUUGAUUAUCGGGAGAAUAUCGAAAUCCGUGAGGAAGGAAUUGCUAAUAUUAGUCGCCCGACUGUGACAAAACGUUUAGAUCUUUUAGCUAGAUCAGGAAUGGCAGAGGACAAUGUAGGAGACGUCCUGUUGGAAAAAUAUGAUGUGAGAUAUCAGAUACCAACAUUAAAAUACGAUGGAGGAAAUAUAAUAGUUUUGGCCGUAUUUUUUACUCAAAGGAUCGGUCCACUUUUAGGAAUUGAAUUAAAAACGGAAAUUAUGCACAGCAUCAUGCAUCGAGAUAUCUGAUCGGAAACUUUUGCACACCACUGUUAACUACGUUAACUAUUAACUCCGACGUAACUAUAUAUUCAAAAACCCAUAUCAAAACCUUGACGCAAUUUAUUUAAUUGAGUAAAUUUCAGAUAGUAAAAUUGAGUAUUUUUUGUUUGGAAAACUCGUAAGUAUUUAUAAGUUUUAUAAUUUCAAAAAGGGUUCAAGAAUUAAACUGGGAAAUUAUGGAUCAUCUCCAUAUAUUGAUUGACCUAGCAGCAUCUGAUUCAGCUCGUUGCAGAAUAUCUUCAUUUAUUACUUAAAAUAACGAAAACAUCUGCAGUGUUGAAUAUCAAUGGAACAUCUUAUAUGUUAAUUAAUACGUAAAGGUAUAUAGUAUAUGUACUUCGAUUUACGCAUCAGAAUUUUGAAAUAGAAAUUCCGUGUACCAAAGAUUAUAGUUUCAAGGUGAAAUUUAAUUUCAAACUUAGCGAUCUUCAAUCAAUGUGCCACAAAAAUUUCUAAAGCAUGUAAUAAUUUAUUCAAUUAUAUUGACAAAUAA